UACAGAGGUCCCAAGCGUUGUUCGGAUUCACUGGGCGUAAAGGGUGCGUAGGCGGUCGGGUAAGUCUGAUGUGAAAUCUCACAGCUUAAACUGUGAAACUGCAUUGGAUACUAUCCGGCUUGAGGAAUGGAGGGAGACUGGAAUACUUGGUGUAGCAGUGAAAUGCGUAGAUAUCAAGUGGAACACCAGUGGCGAAGGCGAGUCUCUGGACAUUUCCUGACGCUGAGGCACGAAAGCCAGGGGAGCAAACGGG
rnacentral:rRNA from 1 species